rnacentral:rRNA from 1 species
GGAUUAGAUACCCUGGUAGUCCACGCCGUAAACGAUGGAUACUAGCUGUCCGGUACCUUGAGUACUGGGCGGCCAAGCGAAAGUGAUAAGUAUCCCACCUGGGGAGUACGUUCGCAAGAAUGAAACUCAAAGGAAUUGACGGGGGCCCGCACAAGCGGUGGAGCAUGUGGUUUAAUUCGAUGAUACGCGAGGAACCUUACCAGGGCUUAAAUGCAUAACGACAGGUCCAGAGAUGGAUUUUCCUUCGGGCGUUUUGCAAGGUGCUGCAUGGUUGUCGUCAGCUCGUGCCG